UACGUAGGGGGCAAGCGUUGUCCGGAUUUAUUGGGCGUAAAGAGCGUGUAGGCGGCCUGGAAGGUCAGCUGUGAAAACUCGAGGCUCAACCUCGAGACGUCGGUUGAAACCACCUGGCUAGAGUCCGGAAGAGGAGAGUGGAAUUCCCGGUGUAGCGGUGAAAUGCGCAGAUAUCGGGAAGAACACCCGUGGCGAAGGCGGCUCUCUGGGACGGUACUGACGCGUGAGACGCGAAAGCGUGGGGAGCGAACAGG
rnacentral:rRNA from 1 species